rnacentral:rRNA from 1 species
GUGGAUUAGAUACCCGAGUAGUCCAUGCCGUAAACGAUGUCUACUAGCCGUUGGGGCCUUUGAGGCUUUAGUGGCGCAGCUAACGCGAUAAGUAGACCGCCUGGGGAGUACGGUCGCAAGACUAAAACUCAAAUGAAUUGACGGGGGCCCGCACAAGCGGUGGAGCAUGUGGUUUAAUUCGAUGCAACGCGAAGAACCUUACCUGGCCUUGACAUAGUAAGAACUUUCCAGAGAUGGAUUGGUGCCUUCGGGAACUUACAUACAGGUGCUGCACGGUCGUCGUCAACU